ACACAACUUGUUGACUGAGAGGAUUGCAUGGGACAGUCCCCUAUGACAUCAUAAUUGUGAAAUGGGAGAAGCGUUGAUUUAGAAUAUUUAAAUACUUUAUUACAUAUUAUCCAGCACUGACGCAGCUAGGAUUUAUAUUCUCAGUUGUUUUUCUUAUCAUUUACGUAUUAAACUACUAUCUUAUAAAAAAAUGAAAUUUUA